rnacentral:misc_RNA from 1 species
CCAAUAGCGUAUAUUAAAGUUGUUGCAGUUAAAAAGCUCGUAGUUGAAUUUCGGGAUCAAUAUUUCGGUCAUGCCGUUGGUAUGCACUGUUAUCAUUGAUUUCUCACCUUCUAAAGAACCGUAAUGCCAUUAAUUUGGUGUUACGGGGAAUUAGGACUGUUACCUUGAAAAAAUUAGAGUGUUUAAAGCAGGCUCACGCUUGAAUACAUUAGCAUGGAAUAAUGAAAUAGGACAUCCGAUUCUAUUUUGUUGGUUUCUAGGAUCGAUGUAAUGAUUAAUAGGGAUAGUUGGGGGAAUUAGUAUUCAAUUGUCAGAGGUGAAAUUCUUGGAUUUAUUGAAGACUAACUACUGCGAAAGCAUUUGCCAAGGAUGUUUUCAUUAAUCAAGAACGAAAGUUAGGGGAUCGAAGACGAUCAGAUACCGUCGUAGUCUUAACCAUAAACUAUGCCGACUAGGGAUCGGAUGAUGUUAAUUUUUUAAUGACUCAUUCGGCGCCUUACG